UCUGGUAGUUAUGGCAAAGAGGCCACACCCGUUCCCAUCCCGAACACGGAAGUUAAGCUCUUUUGCGCCGAUGGUAGUUGGGGGUUCUCCCCCUGUGAGAGUAGGUCGCUGCCAGGC
rnacentral:rRNA from 1 species